AUGUGUGAACUUUCUCUCGAGCCCUCAUCACUGUUGGAGCAAUGGCUGAGCAGUCGUAAUGCAGUGUGUCAGGAAGAAGUCAGAAGAGGUAACAACAAAGGCAAAAUGGAGCUGGAUGGACUUCUCUUUUGGCUGAAAUCAAGGCAGGUGGUAUCUGCACAUCCAUGGCCUUUCCUUGACUACAAGAUGGGAAAAGCUCGGCCACAUCCAGGCUGCUCCCACCCAUCUGCUCUGAGAGUUCAGCAGUUUUACCAUCCAGGAGGAGCUGAGAGCUGCUCUGGAAGUCUUUUGUCUGUGGAUAUGAAGGUGGUUCUGUGUGCUCUCUGGAAGUCUGUAGAUGGACAGAACUGCUGGCACAGUGCUUUUCCCUCUGUUUGGCAUUGGAUAGCCAAUGACAGAAGUCUAAAAGCAGGCAGGUUAUUCUCCAAAUGCACCACAAAACAACAGCGACAACAACGAGGUGUCCGUGACCUGGAGAAGCCAAAAGCCUGCUCCUGUCCUCCCCUGAGGCGCGCUGGAUGUGCAGCUGGGAGUUCUCUAAAGGAUUUCACAGCAGCUGAGCUCAUGCAAAAUGGGAAGAUGUUGGAGCUCUGA
rnacentral:lncRNA from 1 species